rfam:Medicago truncatula strain A17 chromosome 2, whole genome shotgun sequence.
AUACCUUUUUCGACUGCUUGGCUAAGAUCAAGUGUAUUCAUAUCAUUUUAAUAUAUAAUAUGUGGUCCAAUGAAUCACACAUGAUAUUAAAUUACUUUUUUGAGGGGGAGAGACCAUUUCAGUAGCUUGCUAUUGGUUUCCUCAUUUGUCGCCUAUGCAUUGCACUAUUGCAUGGGCCGGCGCACCAAAA